rnacentral:rRNA from 1 species
AAUCAACGCUGGCGGCGUGCCUCAGACAUGCAAGUCGAACGAUUAAGACUCCCUUCGGGGAGUGCAUAAAGUGGCGCACGGGUGAGUAACACGUAAGUAAUCUACCUUUGAGUGGGGAAUAACGACCGGAAACGGUUGCUAAUACCGCAUAACGCAGCGGCACCGCAAGGUGACAGUUGUUAAAGGAGCAAUCCGCUUGAAGAGGAGCUUGCGGCAGAUUAGCUAGUUGGUAAGGUAAUGGCUUACCAAGGCUACGAUCUGUAUCCGGUCUAAGAGGACGGUCGGACACACUGACACUGAAUAACGGGUCAGACUCCUACGGGAGGCAGCAGUCGGGAAUUUUGGGCAAUGGGCGAAAGCCUGACCCAGCAACGCCGCGUGAAGGAUGAAGUAUUUCGGUAUGUAAACUUCGAAAGAAUGGGAAGAAUAAAUGACGGUACCAUUUAUAAGGUCCGGCUAACUACGUGCCAGCAGCCGCCGUAAUAC